rnacentral:rRNA from 1 species
ACGCUGGCGGCGUGCUUAACACAUGCAAGUCGAACGAAGCAAUUAAGCGGAAGUUUUCGGAUGGAAGCUUAAUUGACUUAGUGGCGGACGGGUGAGUAACCCGUGGGUAACCUACCUUAUACUGGGGAAUAACAGUUGGAAACGACUGCUAAUACCGCAUAAUAAAGAAUAUCGCAUGAUUUUCUUUUGAAAUAUUUAUAGGUAUAAGAUGGACCCGCGUCUGAUUAGCUAGUUGGUGAGGUAACUGCUCACCAAGGCGACGAUCAGUAGCCGGCUUGAGAGAGUGACCGGCCACGUUGGGACUGAGACACGGCCCAAACUCCUACGGGAGGCAGCAGUGGGGAAUAUUGCACAAUGGGGGAAACCCUGAUGCAGCGACGCCGCGUGAGUGAAGAAGUAUUUCGGUAUGUAAAGCUCUAUCAGCAGGGAAGAUAAUGACGGUACCUGACUAAGAAGCCCCGGCUAACUACGUGCCAGCAGCCGCGGUAAUACGUAGGGGGCAAGCGUUAUCCGGAUUUACUGGGUGUAAAGGGAGCGUAGGUGGUUUGGUAAGUCAGAUGUGAAAGCCCGGGGCUCAACCCCGGGACUGCAUUUGAAACUAUCAAACUAGAGUGCAGGAGAGGUAAGUGGAAUUCCUAGUGUAGCGGUGAAAUGCGUAAAUAUUAAGAGGAACACCAGUGGCCAAGGCGGCUUAAUGGACUGUAACUGACACUGAAGCCUCGAAAGCGUGGGGAGCCAACAGGAAUUAAAUACCCUGGUAGUCCACGCCAUAAAACGAUGAAUACUAGGUGGUGGGGGACAAAAACCCCCUCCGGUGCCGUCCCAAACUCAUUUAAUAUUUCCCACUUGGGGGGUACGUUCCUAGAAAUGAAAACUCAAAGGAAUUGACGGGGACCCGCACAAGCGGUGGAGCAUGUGGUUUAUUUGAAGCAACGCGAAGAACCUUACCAGGUCUUGACAUCCCUCUGACUGGUCAGUAACGUGACCUUUCCUUCGGGACAGAGGAGACAGGUGGUGCAUGGUUGUCGUCAGCUCGUGUCGUGAGAUGUUGGGUUAAGUCCCGCAACGAGCGCAACCCCUAUCCUUAGUAGCCAGCAGUUUGGCUGGGCACUCUAGGGAGACUGCCAGGGAUAACCUGGAGGAAGGCGGGGAUGACGUCAAAUCAUCAUGCCCCUUAUGAUCUGGGCUACACACGUGCUACAAUGGUGACUACAAAGGGAAGCAACUCUGUGAAGACAAGCGAAUCCCAAAAAGGUCAUCCCAGUUCGGAUUGUAGUCUGCAACUCGACUACAUGAAGCUGGAAUCGCUAGUAAUCGCGAAUCAGAAUGUCGCGGUGAAUACGUUCCCGGGUCUUGUACACACCGCCCGUCACACCAUGGGAGUCGGAAAUGCCCGAAGUCAGUGACCCAACCC